AACGCGAAGAACCUUACCUACCCUUGACAUCCUGCGAAGCUAGCUGAGAGGCUGGUGUGCCGAAAGGAGCGCAGAGACAGGUGCUGCAUGGCUGUCGUCAGCUCGUGUUGUGAGAUGUUGGGUUAAGUCCCGUAACGAGCGCAACCCUUGUCCUUAGUUACCAUCAUUUAGUUGGGGACUCUAAGGAGACUGCCGGUGAUGAACCGGAGGAAGGCGGGGACGACGUCAAGUCAUCAUGGCCUUUAUGGGUAGGGCUACACACGUGCUACAAUGGGUCGUACAGAGGGUAGCCAACCCGCGAGGGGGAGCCAAUCUCAAAAAGCGACUCGUAGUCCGGAUUGGAGUCUGCAACUCGACUCCAUGAAGUUGGAAUCGCUAGUAAUCGCGAAUCAGCAUUGUCGCGGUGAAUACGUUCCCGGGCCUUGUACACACCGCACGA
rnacentral:rRNA from 1 species